rnacentral:rRNA from 1 species
ACUGAGACACGGCCCAGACUCCUACGGGAGGCAGCAGUGGGGAAUAUUGCACAAUGGGCGAAAGCCUGAUGCAGCGACGCCGCGUGGGGGAUGACGGCCUUCGGGUUGUAAACCCCUUUCAGUAGGGAAGAAGCGAGAGUGACGGUACCUGCAGAAGAAGCGCCGGCUAACUACGUGCCAGCAGCCGCGGUAAUACGUAGGGCGCAAGCGUUGUCCGGAAUUAUUGGGCGUAAAGAGCUUGUAGGUGGCUUGUCGCGUCUGCCGUGAAAACCCGAGGCUCAACCUCGGGCGUGCGGUGGGUACGGGCAGGCUAGAGUGUGGUAGGGGAGACUGGAACUCCUGGUGUAGCGGUGAAAUGCGCAGAUAUCAGGAAGAACACCGAUGGCGAAGGCAGGUCUCUGGGCCAUUACUGACACUGAGAAGCGAAAGCAUGGGUAGCGAACAGGAUUAGAUAC